GACGAACGCUGGCGGCGUGCCUAAUACAUGCAAGUCGAACGCAGUGGGGACGGGUGAGCAACACGUGGGUAAUCUCGCAUCAGAGUGGAUAACACUUGGAAACAGGUGCUAAACCCAUAUCGAAGGAUGGACCUGCGGCGCAUUAGCUAGUUGGUGAGGUAACGGCGCACCAAGGCUACGAUGCAUAGCCGGCUUGAGAGGAGGAUCGGCCACACUGGGACUGAGACACGGCCCAGACUCCUACGGGAGGCAGCAGUGGGGAAUCUUGGACAAUGGGCGAAAGUCUGACCGAGCAACGCCGCGUGAGUGAAGAAGGUUUUCGGGUCGUAAAACUCUGUUGUUAGAGAAGCGGUAUCUACCCAGAAAGCCACGGCUAACUACGUGCCAGCAGCCGCGGUAAUAC
rnacentral:rRNA from 1 species